UACGAAGGGGGCUAGCGUUGUUCGGAAUUACUGGGCGUAAAGCGCGCGCAGGCGGUCUUCCAAGUCAGUGGUGAAAGCCCGGAGCUCAACUCCGGAACUGCCAUUGAAACUGUAAGACUUGAGGAUGAGAGAGGUGAGUGGAAUUCCCAGUGUAGAGGUGAAAUUCGUAGAUAUUGGGAAGAACACCGGUGGCGAAGGCGGUUCUCUGGGCAUUACCUGACGCUGAGGAGCGAAAGCGUGGGGAGCAAACAGG
rnacentral:rRNA from 1 species